CCUGCACGCCUCCAGCGGCGUGAAGAAGGCCGGCAACGCCCCACCCCCACCGCCCCACGAAUUAGAGUGAAGAGGACCGGAGAUGUAAGCCCCAUAAAAAGUAGUCUUCUUUGAGCUUUUCAAGGUGGAUCACCCUGCUUCAAACUCCUAGAUCCGGCACUGCCUCGGGAACGAGCUGGCCAUGCGGGCAUCGAGCAGUCACCACUUCUAUUUCUUCCAUAAAAAGGGAUGAAACACCCACGCAUCUCACCUCUAGCCUCCAAACGACCUCCAACUCUCGAAAACAUGGAAGCAGAUACCAUGCCGCCGGCGCCACCACCUCAGCGUGUCGAAGACAUGGUCGAACUCGUCGAAGAGAUCCUCCUCCGCCUCCCGCCGAACGAGCCUGACAGCCUCGUCCGUGCGGCAGUCGUAUGCAAGCCAUGGCGCAGACUCCUCUCCAGCCACCGCUUCCGCCGUCUCUAUCGUGACUUCCACAAAAAACCUCCUAUGCUAGGAUUCUUCCAGAACUCCCUCUUGU